AAAAGGUCUGCUUUCUGCUAAAGCAAUGGAUGAAGAAAUGAAAAGCAAGCCAGAGACUAAUCUGAAUUCAUCUUUGCUUUAGACCUUUCCAUGUUGUCUUCCACUCAUGCACUUGCAUGGUCGGUUAAAGCAUAGCCAUGGAAAACUAGCUAGCUUUUUCUCAUGUAUACAAUUCGCUUUGAUUAGAACUCGAAAGUAGCACUGAGCUAAAGUUGAUUCGAUGACCUUAUUUAUGUUCUUUCAUUUUUUGGUCAAGAGAGACCAUUUUAAUUGUAUUAAAAAAACUUUGUUAAUUAUCUUCUUCAUGGCAUCCGCCGCCAUUACAUCAUCGCCUGGCCAGCAACCGCCCGCUGACGGAGAGAUUCAACAACCAAGUGUUCCACUGGCUGUAUCAGCUAGUAGUAGUGCAUGGCAUUCUUCAGGUUCUAUUGGCCCUUUCUUUGGAGUUAUUUCUGUUCUUGCAGUUCUAGCUAUUCUUUCUUGCUUUGUGGGUCGAAUAUGCAGCCGUCGGGCAGUGGCUCCUCCUCCGGACAACAUCAAGCAUAGAGGGUAUCUGGGGUGGAUGAAACGGAGGAGCCGGUGGUGCUGGGGUGGAGAUGUUGAGGUUGGAGCCAAUAAGGUGAUGGCUUUUGGUGGUGAUCAUCAAGCUAAAGAUGGCGAGGUUGAUCAGCAAUUACCCCCUACAGCUUGAUUUCUUUAAUUAGCAAUCUAUUUUAAUUUCCUUCAUGUUUAAAAGAAAAAAAAAAUGAGAAAUGGGUUUAAUUAAAUGUGUAUUCUGCAUAUUUAAUUACCAAAAUUACUCCCUAAAUACUGUUAUUAUUGAAGUCUGUUACUGUUAUUAUGGAAGUCAGUCGAUUCAUCUUUCUAAUAUGAUUUAUUAGAAUAUUUUUCAUUAUAUCAGCCCCUGAUAUUUCCUAUAUAUGAAGGAGUUUUCUGAGACAAGAAUCCAUACAUAUGGCAUAAUAAUUCUUUAAUUUACUUCAUCAAAAUAAUAGUAAUAUUGACAUUGGUCUUCCUUCUCUGAUAAAAUGUAAAGAGUGAGAGGCAUUAAUCUUCCCUCAUUAGAGUAAUAGUGAUAUUCG
rnacentral:misc_RNA from 1 species